rnacentral:rRNA from 1 species
GGGACACGUGGUAUCCUGUCUGAAUAUGGGGGGACCAUCCUCCAAGGCUAAAUACUCCUGACUGACCGAUAGUGAACCAGUACCGUGAGGGAAAGGCGAAAAGAACCCCGGCGAGGGGAGUGAAAAAGAACCUGAAACCGUGUACGUACAAGCAGUGGGAGCCUCUUAAUGGGGUGACUGCGUACCUUUUGUAUAAUGGGUCAGCGACUUAUAUUCUGUAGCAAGGUUAACCGAAUAGGGGAGCCGAAGGGAAACCGAGUCUUAACUGGGCGUUAAGUUGCAGGGUAUAGACCCGAAACCCGGUGAUCUAGCCAUGGGCAGGUUGAAGGUUGGGUAACACUAACUGGAGGACCGAACCGACUAAUGUUGAAAAAUUAGCGGAUGACUUGUGGCUGGGGGUGAAAGGCCAAUCAAACCGGGAGAUAGCUGGUUCUCCCCGAAAGCUAUUUAGGUAGCGCCUCGUGAAUUCAUCUCCGGGGGUAGAGCACUGUUUCGGCAAGGGGGUCAUCCCGACUUACCAACCCGAUGCAAACUGCGAAUACCGGAGAAUGUUAUCACGGGAGACACACGGCGGGUGCUAACGUCCGUCGUGAAGAGGGAAACAACCCAGACCGCCAGCUAAGGUCCCAAAGUCAUGGUUAAGUGGGAAACGAUGUGGGAAGGCCCAGACAGCCAGGAUGUUGGCUUAGAAGCAGCCAUCAUUUAAAGAAAGCGUAAUAGCUCACUGGUCGAGUCGGCCUGCGCGGAAGAUGUAACGGGGCUAAACCAUGCACCGAAGCUGCGGCAGCGACACUAUGUGUUGUUGGGUAGGGGAGCGUUCUGUAAGCCUGUGAAGGUGUACUGUGAGGUAUGCUGGAGGUAUCAGAAGUGCGAAUGCUGACAUAAGUAACGAUAA